CAUUACGACGAAGGUCCAUUUUUCACCACGGACCGCAGAGGGUGGAAGCCCAUUGCUGUUCACACUGCAUCCUGUUCUCGUCUCGAGACUCAUGACUUCCAGCAUAGAGUCCCAAGGCAAGGUGAAUGUGCGGGUAAAGUGUCAAGCGAGACGACUAUCCCCAUGCGACUCAAACGAUCGGGUCGGCAUUGUCUGCUUCCACGAGCUUCCGGCUCCUUAGAUGGUCUCGCCCGAAGCCCUUGGACAGCCUUUGACUAUAUAGAGAGGCUCUGCUUCGUUUCAAAGCUGCAUGGUCCCUCUUUCACGUGAUAAACAGCAGCCGGGUACCAUCCACUGCAUCCAUGACAAACCACCGUCCCGCUCCACGCCAUUGAUGUUACGUUCUGAAACAGUUCGGUUGUCGAUGGUCAGUGAUCAUGACACAAAGGGUUGGCAUUCUCGUAACAGCGACGAUUUGCGGGACAGUUGUUAAGGACCGCCCUUAGAAAAAUGCUCCUCGUUCCUUCAUCCUUGUCUACACCCACCGUUACACAAGUAUCGGAUUCUGCAGCUGGGUGAGUUCUGAAAAUUGAUAAGAGAUGAUAAAGGAAGUUCGGUAAAUCCAACGCAAGUUCUGA